rnacentral:rRNA from 1 species
AUGCAAGUUCGAGCGGUAGGCCCUUCGGGGUACACGAGCGGCGAACGGGUGAGUAACACGUGGGUGAUCUGCCUCGUACUUCGGGAUAAGCCUGGGAAACUGGGUCUAAUACCGGAUAGGACCUCUUGUCGCAUGGCUUGGGGUGGAAAGAUUUAUCGGUGCGAGAUGGGCCCGCGGCCUAUCAGCUUGUUGGUGGGGUAAUGGCCUACCAAGGCGACGACGGGUAGCCGGCCUGAGAGGGCGACCGGCCACACUGGGACUGAGACACGGCCCAGACUCCUACGGGAGGCAGCAGUGGGGAAUAUUGCACAAUGGGCGGAAGCCUGAUGCAGCGACGCCGCGUGAGGGAUGACGGCCUUCGGGUUGUAAACCUCUUUCGACAGGGACGAAGCGCAAGUGACGGUACCUGUAGAAGAAGCACCGGCCAACUACGUGCCAGCAGCCGCGGUAAUACGUAGGGUGCGAGCGUUGUCCGGAAUUACUGGGCGUAAAGAGCUUGUAGGCGGUUUGUCGCGUCGUCUGUGAAAACUCACAGCUCAACUGUGAGCUUGCAGGCGAUACGGGCAGACUUGAGUACUGCAGGGGAGACUGGAAUUCCUGGUGUAGCGGUGAAAUGCGCAGAUAUCAGGAGGAACACCGGUGGCGAAGGCGGGUCUCUGGGCAGUAACUGACGCUGAGAAGCGAAAGCGUGGGUAGCGAACAGGAUUAGAUACCCUGGUAGUCCACGCCGUAAACGGUGGGCGCUAGGUGUGGGUUUCCUUCCACGGGAUCCGUGCCGUAGCUAACGCAUUAAGCGCCCCGCCUGGGGAGUACGGCCGCAAGGCUAAAACUCAAAGGAAUUGACGGGGGCCCGCACAAGCGGCGGAGCAUGUGGAUUAAUUCGAUGCAACGCGAAGAACCUUACCUGGGUUUGACAUACACCGGAAACCUGCAGAGAUGUAGGCCCCCUUGUGGUCGGUGUACAGGUGGUGCAUGGCUGUCGUCAGCUCGUGUCGUGAGAUGUUGGGUUAAGUCCCGCAACGAGCGCAACCCUUGUCCUGUGUUGCCAGCACGUAAUGGUGGGGACUCGCAGGAGACUGCCGGGGUCAACUCGGAGGAAGGUGGGGACGACGUCAAGUCAUCAUGCCCCUUAUGUCCAGGGCUUCACACAUGCUACAAUGGGCGGUACAGAGGGCUGCGAGACCGUGAGGUGGAGCGAAUCCCUUAAAGCCGUUCUCAGUUCGGAUCGGGGUCUGCAACUCGACCCCGUGAAGUUGGAGUCGCUAGUAAUCGCAGAUCAGCAACGCUGCGGUGAAUACGUUCCCGGGCCUUGUACACACCGCCCGUCACGUCAUGAAAGUCGGUAACACCCGAAGCCGGUGGCCCAACCCU